rnacentral:misc_RNA from 1 species
AAUAAUAAAAAACAUUUAAUAAUCUUGUCCGAGCAUUAUCAUACCUUUUAAUUAAUGAAUUAACCCAUAUUUCCUAAAAGAAAGUUACUCAAUUAAUUAGAGCAUUAAGAUAGUAUUAUUUCACAAAACCUCAUGGAUCCAAGUUUAGUUUCGACUCUUAAUUGAAAUCUAUGAUAGUUGUUAUUAACUCCAACUCAUAAUCAUGUUUUCCAAUCAUAGAUUAUAAAUCUAGCAUCAUUCAAGUACUUGGCCAAGGUACUCAAAAUUAUUAAACUCAAAAGUAACAACUAUUAGCAAAGUAGAGAAAAUUAGAUCAAAAUCUAGAGAUAAAAUCAAGUCAAACUGCAUCAAUUUCCUCGCUAAAAUAUCUAGCCACUCAUAAUGUCGAAAGUCUCAAUAAAACUCAACAAAUCAAAAAUCAAUAUUAUUCAAUGAAAAUGGAUUUUCCCCAAAGAAAAUAAAUUAAAAGGGAAGAAAAUAAAACUCUAUAAGAUGGAGAUUGGUGUCUUCCUCCCUCAAACUUCUAAAAUCCCUCUUUCAAGAUCCUUGCUCUAGUAGAAAUUGGUGAAUUUUGGAGUGUUUGGUAAUGUUUUUUCCUCUUCAUUUGGUGACGUGUUACAGGCUUAUUGGGGUGAGAAAAUACUCUCAGAGAGCAUCUCAUGGCCAGCCAUGUUUGUAGAGUGAUUCCCAUAGGUGGCCAUGCGCGUUUCUUCAAUUCUACAUGUAGCCAUGCUUGUUCCUUCAGUCUCACAGGCAACUGUGAGAAUCUUAUAGCU